GCUUAGAUGAGCGGUCUCGGGCCGGGAUGUUCACAACCCUUUGUUGUCCGACUCUGUUGCCUCCGGGGCGACCCUGCCUCCGGGCGGGGGCCCCGGGUGGACAUUUCAAACUCUUGCGUAACUUUGCAGUCUGAGUAAAUUUAAUUAAUAAAUUAAAACUUUCAACAACGGAUCUCUUGGUUCUGGCAUCGAUGAAGAACGCAGCGAAAUGCGAUAAGUAAUGUGAAUUGCAGAAUUCAGUGAAUCAUCGAAUCUUUGAACGCACAUUGCGCCCCCUGGUAUUCCGGGGGGCAUGCCUGUUCGAGCGUCAUUUCACCACUCAAGCCUCGCUUGGUAUUGGGCGACGCGGUCCGCCGCGCGCCUCAAAUCGACCGGCUGGGUCUUUCGUCCCCUCAGCGUUGUGGAAACUAUUCGCUAAAGGGUGCCGCGGGAGGCCACGCCGUAAAACAACCCCAUUUCUAAGGUUGACCUCGGAUCAGGUAGGGAUACCCGCUGAACUUAAGCAUAUCAAUAAGCGGAGGAA
rnacentral:rRNA from 1 species